rnacentral:rRNA from 1 species
GAUGAACGCUAGCGGCAGGCUUAAUACAUGCAAGUCGAGGGGCAGCAGGGGUAGCAAUACUCGCUGGCGACCGGCAAACGGGUGCGGAACACGUACAGAACCUUCCUUUAAGUGGGGAAUAGCCCAGAGAAAUUUGGAUUAAUACCCCGUAACAUUAUGAAGUGGCAUCACUUUAUAAUUAUAGAUUCAUCGCUUAAAGAUGGCUGUGCGGCUGAUUAGGUAGUUGGCGGGGUAACGGCCCACCAAGCCUGCGAUCAGUAACUGGUGUGAGAGCACGACCAGUCACACGGGCACUGAGACACGGGCCCGACUCCUACGGGAGGCAGCAGUAAGGAAUAUUGGUCAAUGGACGCAAGUCUGAACCAGCCAUGCCGCGUGGAGGAUGAAGGUCCUCUGGAUUGUAAACUUCUUUUUAUCUGGGAAGAAACCCCACGUUUUCUAAUGUGGUUGACGGUACCAGAUGAAUAAGCACCGGCUAACUCCGUGCCAGCAGCCGCA